rnacentral:misc_RNA from 1 species
CUCCCGUGUGCUGUUGGCCCCUCACGCGCGCAUACACACCCUUGCACACAGAAUACAGCGACAGCAUCCUCGACCUGCGCACACACUAGCGCGGUGUGGCGUCCAAAGGUUUCUUCCAUCCCAGAAGGCUCAGCUUUUCAUGCUCUUCCUUGUGCCUAGAAACGCUCAUCGCUUUGCUACUCUCUCCAUCGUCUUGCGGAGUGACCUUCUUUUUCCUUCUUGACGGCAUCUGUUUUGUUGCUCCCCUCCCCUCCGCACCCACUCGCAGACAAGAUGGUGAAGGUAAAGGCUUCCAAAUCGAAGCGCAUGUCUUCGAAGCAGCGCCAUAAGAUUGACCGAAAAAAGCGCGAGCACAAGCGCGAUCUGAAGAAGGCGGCCAAGGCGCUUAAAAAGACUGGAAUGACUCCCAAGAGGAGCAAGAAGUCACGCGACAUGGCAAAGCUGGCGCUGCAGGUGUCAAACCGUCACCCAGACAAGGAGCAGAUCCUCAGCCACGUACUACAGGCGCGUGAAACUGCGCGCGUGAUGAAGGCAGAGCGUCGCGCCCGCAAGGGGACCGACGCCGAGACGGACGGUGGCGAAGAGAACCAGACAGUCAGGGUCGGCGCAUGUGCUAGCAACCGGCGUCAGCUGCUCUACAUUUCCGCAAAGGACUCGAACCACUUUCGUGUGCAGUUUAACCGCGCGCUCACGGAGCUCAUCUUUCCUGCCGCGGCGACGGCCGAGGUUAGUGCCGAUGCGCCUACACUGGAGCUGCCUGCUGCGGCGUACGUCGUGACGCUCGACGCCCGGUUCGCGGUGCAGUCGAUGCCGUGGACUCUGUUGGACGCCAUCAUUGACCAGGCCGCCGACUACACGGGAGGGCGGAAGGUUCUGCUCCUCUUCACUUUGACGAAGGCAGAUGUGGUCUCUGCCCCCGCUAUGGUGUCGCAGCUCGCUCUCGUAGCCUUCGCCCUGCAGCAGCGCUACCCCAAAGGCCUCGGCGCCAACAUCGUAGCAACCGUCACGCCUUUUUCGGUCCAUAGCGAGCGCACGCAGCGCCAGUUUCUGCGGGUGCUGAAUCAGUUCCGUCAGAACGAGGGUUGCAGCAGUAAGAAGAUGGCAUCGAACUUGACGGGCAAGAUUUGCGCGUUUGUGAUUGGCCUGCCCAACACCGGCCGCCGCACGCUGUGCCGUACCCUCUCGAGGGAGGCCAACGAGAGCGGCGUGAGCACCGUGCCGCUGCGCGCCGCCCAGCUGCAGCUCAUCCGAUCCGGCCUCACCGAGGAGGAGGAGAAGGUGCACACGAAGUUUGCCAUGCCCAAUGCCAAGGCAGUGACGCUGGUGCAGCUCCCGGAGGAUGCCGGCAUGAUGAAGGAACUGCACGCCCCGGUCGGCGGCGACGUGCUUUUCCGCUCUUUGGCGUUCGUCGAGCGCGCCCCGGAGCCGGAGGCGAUGGGAUGCGUCUUGUUUGACGGGGUCGCGGACAAGACAACAAUGGCGCAGGCCUUCUGCGUGCCGGCGGUGGGCGGGGCAGAGGGCGACGAGAAGAAGCCGCUCAAAGUGGCGGAAAAGUUCCUGCGUGAGCUGGGCCGCGCUGUGCGUCGGGAUGGUGGCUUCCACGUGUCCCCACUCUUCGCAUCGGACGCGGGCACCAUGGGCAAGGUGACCAGUAGCGGUCUCACCGGCCACGGAGGCUUCAACUCGGGCCAGCAGUGCAGCCAGUCUACCCUUCUGAAUGUCACCUAUAGCAACGCAACGCCAAGCAAACUCGUGCACAUCUCAACUGUCAUGAAGAAAGGCAAGGGCAAGGCUAGCAGGUACCAGAAGGUCUCGCGCGCCGACGCGCACAACGCGCUUCGGCUCGGCGCCCGCACGUUCCUGCGCGAGAUGUCGGAGGGGCGCCAUGUGCCGUGGGCCGUCAUGCGCGCGCCCGGCGACGUCACACUGACGCCUGCACAAGUCGGCGCUGCGUCAGAGAUCUUCUCGGUCGCGGCCGCCGAGGGCAAGCGACUCGCAGGAACGGACGAGCUGAAAGGCACGGACCACCUCAACGCCCUUGUGGACGUGCUGGCUACAGCGGUGCGUGACAUUGCGGUCAUUUUGCCAAACGGCGUGGUCGAGAUGAGUCCUGACUUCCUGACGCCUCCUCAGUACAAGCUGGAAAAGGACGAGGCGACCGUGGAGGAGACUGAUGAGGAUGAUGUAGAAGAGGCUGCUGGCGAGCAGGGUGGCAGCGACGCUGAGGAAAGCUGCGAGGAAGCGGCGGAAGGCAGCGAGGAGAUCGACCUGGAGGACGACGAGGAGUCGUAGAGGAGCGCCGUGCCCCUUUUCAGUCUUCGUUUUCUGCGCAGCACGGUAUCUUCUCUCUCCGUGGACGAAGCGGGCAGAGCCAGCCGCUGACGGAAGGGAGGCGCGCACAUCAGGCGUACCGCCGUCGCCCCCCUCACGCCGUCGUGUUGCCGUUUUUAACUUCUUUUUCCCCUGUAUGUCACUCCUCGCCUCCUUCCGCUCAUGCCCCACCACUCUUUCUAUGUUGUCGUUGUCUCGGUUCGAGUGCUGCUGAACUCGCCUGACUUUGAGAACACGGCUGAUUGGUUUUGGUUUUGGCAUCUCCUAAGCGCAUCUUGAGUAACUCUCGCAUAAACCGCCCGCACAGCCGAUUCCGUCUAACAGGCAACGAGGCAGCAAGAUUCGCACAUUCGGAUAAGGCAUAAAGAAAAGCGAGGCACAUGCCAAAGGCACACAUAUAUAUAUAUAGAGAGAGAGAAAAAAGUAGGCAUCUCGGAGGCAGCAGCGACGCCGUUGCUGCUACUGCUGCUGAUGUUGGACAGAUGGGGCGGUGCAUCACGCUGCUGAGCAGCCGGGGAAAGGAGAACGCGGGUGAUGAGAUUCAAAGUGAGUCUGUGUCGCCGUCGCCUCUGCUCACCGAUGACACCUCAUGACGCACUUUGAUGCUUUCCAUAGGCGGCGCGCUGCACUCGUGUGGUGCUGUUAGCGCUCCUGUAAUGGUUAUGAUAGGUGGAGUAGAGGGAGCCUGCGCAUGCUUUUUUGCAAAGAAGUGAUGCGCAGAUAAGAAAGCACAUGCGCACACACUCUCCUUGUUGUCCCACUCCCCUUGUCGUUCACUUUGCGCCAACCUCUUCCCCUUUUCUCUUCCCUUCUAUGCCCCACCCCUUUUUUGUCUGUCUGCGGCUCGUCUGUACGCGACGUUCCGCCCCUUUCACUUGUUUGCGGCUACGCGGACUCCUUUCACGGCGCGCCUUUCCUUUGCAUCCCCCUUUCUCAUUUUUACAUGAAUCCUACUCACAAAG